GCUAUUGCAGGUACAUAUAUUGAUAGGAUUUUCAAUACCAUAUGGCCAUUUAAAGGAAAAAAAAUUAGAAGAAAAGAACUCUACGAUUGGAAUGUAGAGUUUGAAUUGCAUCAUUCAACUAUAAAGUUUUAAUUGUUUAAAUCAAAGCAGUUUGUCAAUCAACUUCUAUUGGUUGUAGUUGGAUGGAAAUAUCAGCUGUUAUCUCCUCUUUAGUUAGCGAAAUGACUUGUCAGACACAAUGCCUAGUACAUUAGCAUUAGAAUUGGUGUAUACUAGGACAAAAGUCAAAUAAAUGUAAUUCU
rnacentral:misc_RNA from 1 species